rnacentral:lncRNA from 1 species
CCAUGCUGUCCCAGGGGGUACUUUUUGCUGCCACCACACCAGUGCCCUCUCUGAAGAAUGCAGCCCUCCUAGGUCCAGGGAUAUUGCAGGCAACAAGGACCUUUCUUACAGGGCAGCCAAGUCCUACCCUCUACAACCUCUUCCUGAAUAUGGAGGAAAAGUUUGUCUUGGGCUGAUCCUUGAGGAAUUCUUCCAGUUUCUUUAUCCCAAAACUUGUGUAACAGUACCCUAUGUGCUUGGAGCCUGGGCUUGUGUUGUAUGCGGUACCCAAACAAAUAUAUGUGAUUACUCCUACUCUACAGUAUCAGUAGUAGGUUACUGGUCUAUGUAAUUUAAAAAUAUGGUGCAUCUAUUGGAGAUUAGCUGAUAAACUCAAUGAGCAAAAAAUUGCCCAACUAGAAGAGGUGAAGCAGGCUUCCAUCAAACAAAUCCAGGACACGAUUCAUUUGGAGAAGUUAUUCCAGUUAUUGGUUCAGAAGUGCCAUUACUAUUUUGAUGUCCAGAGGAAUAACAUUGCUAUGGCUUUGGAGGUUAUUUACUGGAAAUGGCUGCAUAGAGUAUAUAAGGUAAAGAAUCACCUGGACUAUCAUAUGUGUAUGUAGAAUAUGAUGCAUCAAAAGGAAAAAGAGCACAUGAUCAACUGGGUGGAGAAGCACAUGCUCCAGAGGAUCUCUGCACAGCAGGAAAAGGAGACAGUUGCCAAGUGCAUUGCAAACAAAUCUAAAGCUGCUCUCAAAGAAGGCUCAAGCACAGCCAGUUC